rnacentral:rRNA from 1 species
GGGUUGUGAGGUUAAGCGACUAAGCGUACACGGUGGAUGCCCUGGCAGUCAGAGGCGAUGAAGGACGUGCUAAUCUGCGAUAAGCGUCGGUAAGGUGAUAUGAACCGUUAUAACCGGCGAUUUCCGAAUGGGGAAACCCAGUGUGUUUCGACACACUAUCAUUAACUGAAUCCAUAGGUUAAUGAGGCGAACCGGGGGAACUGAAACAUCUAAGUACCCCGAGGAAAAGAAAUCAACCGAGAUUCCCCCAGUAGCGGCGAGCGAACGGGGAGGAGCCCAGAGCCUGAAUCAGUGUGUGUGUUAGUGGAAGCGUCUGGAAAGGCGCGCGAUACAGGGUGACAGCCCCGUACACAAAAAUGCACAUGUUGUGAGCUCGAUGAGUAGGGCGGGACACGUGGUAUCCUGUCUGAAUAUGGGGGGACCAUCCUCCAAGGCUAAAUACUCCUGACUGACCGAUAGUGAACCAGUACCGUGAGGGAAAGGCGAAAAGAACCCCGGCGAGGGGAGUGAAAAAGAACCUGAAACCGUGUACGUACAAGCAGUGGGAGCCUCUUUUAUGGGGUGACUGCGUACCUUUUGUAUAAUGGGUCAGCGACUUAUAUUCUGUAGCAAGGUUAACCGAAUAGGGGAGCCGAAGGGAAACCGAGUCUUAACUGGGCGUUAAGUUGCAGGGUAUAGACCCGAAACCCGGUGAUCUAGCCAUGGGCAGGUUGAAGGUUGGGUAACACUAACUGGAGGACCGAACCGACUAAUGUUGAAAAAUUAGCGGAUGACUUGUGGCUGGGGGUGAAAGGCCAAUCAAACCGGGAGAUAGCUGGUUCUCCCCGAAAGCUAUUUAGGUAGCGCCUCGUGAAUUCAUCUCCGGGGGUAGAGCACUGUUUCGGCAAGGGGGUCAUCCCGACUUACCAACCCGAUGCAAACUGCGAAUACCGGAGAAUGUUAUCACGGGAGACACACGGCGGGUGCUAACGUCCGUCGUGAAGAGGGAAACAACCCAGACCGCCAGCUAAGGUCCCAAAGUCAUGGUUAAGUGGGAAACGAUGUGGGAAGGCCCAGACAGCCAGGAUGUUGGCUUAGAAGCAGCCAUCAUUUAAAGAAAGCGUAAUAGCUCACUGGUCGAGUCGGCCUGCGCGGAAGAUGUAACGGGGCUAAACCAUGCACCGAAGCUGCGGCAGCGACACUAUGUGUUGUUGGGUAGGGGAGCGUUCUGUAAGCCUGUGAAGGUGUACUGUGAGGUAUGCUGGAGGUAUCAGAAGUGCGAAUGCUGACAUAAGUAACGAUAAAGCGGGUGAAAAGCCCGCUCGCCGGAAGACCAAGGGUUCCUGUCCAACGUUAAUCGGGGCAGGGUGAGUCGACCCCUAAGGCGAGGCCGAAAGGCGUAGUCGAUGGGAAACAGGUUAAUAUUCCUGUACUUGGUGUUACUGCGAAGGGGGGACGGAGAAGGCUAUGUUGGCCGGGCGACGGUUGUCCCGGUUUAAGCGUGUAGGCUGGUUUUCCAGGCAAAUCCGGAAAAUCAAGGCUGAGGCGUGAUGACGAGGCACUACGGUGCUGAAGCAACAAAUGCCCUGCUUCCAGGAAAAGCCUCUAAGCAUCAGGUAACAUCAAAUCGUACCCCAAACCGACACAGGUGGUCAGGUAGAGAAUACCAAGGCGCUUGAGAGAACUCGGGUGAAGGAACUAGGCAAAAUGGUGCCGUAACUUCGGGAGAAGGCACGCUGAUAUGUAGGUGAAGUCCCUCGCGGAUGGAGCUGAAAUCAGUCGAAGAUACCAGCUGGCUGCAACUGUUUAUUAAAAACACAGCACUGUGCAAACACGAAAGUGGACGUAUACGGUGUGACGCCUGCCCGGUGCCGGAAGGUUAAUUGAUGGGGUCAGCGCAAGCGAAGCUCUUGAUCGAAGCCCCGGUAAACGGCGGCCGUAACUAUAACGGUCCUAAGGUAGCGAAAUUCCUUGUCGGGUAAGUUCCGACCUGCACGAAUGGCGUAAUGAUGGCCAGGCUGUCUCCACCCGAGACUCAGUGAAAUUGAACUCGCUGUGAAGAUGCAGUGUACCCGCGGCAAGACGGAAAGACCCCGUGAACCUUUACUAUAGCUUGACACUGAACAUUGAGCCUUGAUGUGUAGGAUAGGUGGGAGGCUUAGAAGUGUGGACGCCAGUCUGCAUGGAGCCGACCUUGAAAUACCACCCUUUAAUGUUUGAUGUUCUAACGUUGACCCGUGAUCCGGGUUGCGGACAGUGUCUGGUGGGUAGUUUGACUGGGGCGGUCUCCUCCUAAAGAGUAACGGAGGAGCACGAAGGUUGGCUAAUCCUGGUCGGACAUCAGGAGGUUAGUGCAAUGGCAUAAGCCAGCUUGACUGCGAGCGUGACGGCGCGAGCAGGUGCGAAAGCAGGUCAUAGUGAUCCGGUGGUUCUGAAUGGAAGGGCCAUCGCUCAACGGAUAAAAGGUACUCCGGGGAUAACAGGCUGAUACCGCCCAAGAGUUCAUAUCGACGGCGGUGUUUGGCACCUCGAUGUCGGCUCAUCACAUCCUGGGGCUGAAGUAGGUCCCAAGGGUAUGGCUGUUCGCCAUUUAAAGUGGUACGCGAGCUGGGUUUAGAACGUCGUGAGACAGUUCGGUCCCUAUCUGCCGUGGGCGCUGGAGAACUGAGGGGGGCUGCUCCUAGUACGAGAGGACCGGAGUGGACGCAUCACUGGUGUUCGGGUUGUCAUGCCAAUGGCACUGCCCGGUAGCUAAAUGCGGAAGAGAUAAGUGCUGAAAGCAUCUAAGCACGAAACUUGCCCCGAGAUGAGUUCUCCCUGACCCUUUAAGGGUCCUGAAGGAACGUUGAAGACGACGACGUUGAUAGGCCGGGUGUGUAAGCGCAGCGAUGCGUUGAGCUAACCGGUACUAAUGAACCGUGAGGCUUAACCUUACAACGCCGAAG